CAGUCGCCACGGGAAUACGGAGGGUGCGAGCGUUAAUCGGAAUUACUGGGCGUAAAGCGUACGCAGGCGGUCUGUUAAGUCAGAUGUGAAAUCCCCGGGCUUAACCCGGGAACUGCAUUUGAAACUGGCAGGCUAGAGUCUCGUAGAGGGGGGUAGAAUUCCAGGUGUAGCGGUGAAAUGCGUAGAGAUCUGGAGGAAUACCGGUGGCGAAGGCGGCCCCCUGGACAAAGACUGACGCUCAGGUGCAAAAGCGUGGGGAGCAAACAGGAUUAGAUACCCCAGUAGUCCCUGUCUCUUAUAC
rnacentral:rRNA from 1 species